rfam:Ricinus communis cultivar Hale ctg_1100012359463, whole genome shotgun sequence.
AGUUGCAUUACAGGGCAAAUAUCUCCAUUGGCAGGUAGCCACUUUAGACAUGCAUUUAAAUUUUGAGCAUUAUUUAACAGUGUGCCUUCUGCCAAAGGAGAUUUGCCCAGCAAUUCUUCU